rnacentral:rRNA from 1 species
GACGAACGCUGGCGGCAUGCCUAAUACAUACAAGUCGAGCGAACAGAUGAGAAGCUUGCUUCUCUGAUGUUAGCGGCGGACGGGUGAGUAACACGUGGGUAACCUACCUAUAAGACUGGGAUAACUCCGGGAAACCGGGGCUAAUACCGGAUAAUAUUUUGAACCGCAUGGUUCAAUAGUGAAAGACGGUUUCGGCUGUCACUUAUAGAUGGACCCGCGCCGGAUUAGCUAGUUGGUAAGGUAACGGCUUACCAAGGCGACGAUACGUAGCCGACCUGAGAGGGUGAUCGGCCACACUGGAACUGAGACACGGUCCAGACUCCUACGGGAGGCAGCAGUAGGGAAUCUUCCGCAAUGGGCGAAAGCCUGACGGAGCAACGCCGCGUGAGUGAUGAAGGUCUUCGGGUCGUAAAACUCUGUUGUUAGGGAAGAACAAAUUUGUUAGUAACUGAACAAGUCUUGACGGUACCUAACCAGAAAGCCACGGCUAACUACGUGCCAGCCGCCGCCGUAA